AAAGCAAGAUAUUUCAAAAAGAAAAGAUUCAUCCCCAAUCGUCGCGGAUGCAAAAGGCCAAAAAACAAAAUGGUCAAUAAUGAGCAGCAGCAACCAAAUUCUGAGAAUUCAUCGUUAGACCGAGAAGCAGCAGAGACGCUGAGAGCCACUGAAGAAUUAGAAGAAUCGAACAAGAGUGAAAUCAAGGAGAGGUCAGCAAAACAUCUGUCGAAGUGCAUCAAGAAGCCGCAUCAGUCAGCAAAGAACCGCUUGUUCGAAAAAUGACGAUGGCUCAGUUAACCAAGGAGUUCCCAAAUCUUGCUCGAGUUGCAACUAAAGUAUUACAAAGCAAGGAUUCUCGUUAAAUAAAACUCCUAAAGUCUCUAAACCUGACAGCGUGCCUUCAAAAAGUCAACCUAGUCACAGCCUUGAGAAAAAUGGGCCAGAUCUCCCAGCAGAAUGCCCAAGCACAGCUCAGUGUUCAGAUGACGCUGAUACAACGGCAGAGUGGUCACAACUAAUGAGGAAGCAACAAGAGGCUGAACAACACCAGUUAACAGUGGAACGUUUCCAUGUAGCAGGCAAUGAUCCAGGGAUAAAAGAAAUUGCUGGGCCGCCGCAUUGUAGACAUUCAACAUAUUAUCACAGAGGCUCGAAAGUUAGAGGGACACGAAUGCAGAAUAAAACCAAACGUUGGUUACUUCUCCUUCUCACACGAAGUACGGUGUGGUCUACAGUCAAUUCUUUCUUUCAAGUGCACUGAAUGUGGAAUGCAGCGUAACAUCCCAACAACAGCUGGGAAUCAGAUGAAAUAAACUCUGCAGGUGUCAAGCCAUAACAGCAAUGGGCAAGGGCCAUGAGCCUUACAGACGGUUUUUGAGGACACUUGCCAUUCCAGAGCCUACGUACGGAACUUUCAAGAAACAUCAGGACAGAUUAAAGCAGGUGUGAAAUGGAUUUUAGCUUGGAUAACACUUCUGUGUUAUUGAAGGAAAAAAUUAAGAAUUUAACUUGUUCCUUUCCUUGCCAAUGUGUUUUUGCUUAGUUGUUCUCAUCAUGUCAGAAACACAGAAGAUGUGAUAGACUUUAAAAAGUAGCAGACAUUCCUAUCUUAUAUCUUCUUUUUUUUCUGUAUUGACUUCGUCACAAUUUAAAUGAAUGAGGAUAUUUGAUACCUACUGAACAAAAAAUGAAUGAAAAGUAAGGUGACAUCAACAAGGGUAGAUUAUUUAUGAUUGGUGGCCUUUGAGAUGUAGACCAAAGAAAAAUUCUGUUGAGGAGAAAAUGAGUCUAUUCUCCUUUUCCUGUAUUUUUUCAUCCAACUUCAAGGGCUCAAUUUCUUAUUACACAAGAAAGUCCUCCCUCCCUGAGUUGAAAUUAAAUUAAAUAUUCCCGGGUCAUGACUCGCAACGGUUAAUGAUGCCUGUUGAGUGAUGUUUUCCUAACCUCAAAUUCCUCACCUUUGUUUUGGUAGCAGUCAGGUUCUUCUAGUUCUUUCUUAUCAAUCUCCCCAUCCAUUUGGUCUGUUCGGUUAUCAGUAGAGUGCUUUUUUUACCGUUAAUAUGCAAAUUCACUGCACGAAGGCUCUACCUGUAUUCCCUAAAAAUACAUACCUGUAUUUUUCAUAAUAAUCUAAGUGCAUCUCAAGACAGAAUUAUCUGAACUACUCAUCUCCCCACCUCCUAAGUAAGAUUACUCAGUAUCUUUUUUUUUCUUUUUUUUUUUUCGGAACGGUUUUAAGGCAAUCUAUCUACCGACUAUGGUAUUUAGCACUUUUCUGGAGGUUAUGUUUAGUGUUAGCGUUUGUGAGUUAGUGCGCCAGCACGCACUGGACUUGUGGCCUAUAGCCUAGGGGUCGCAGGUGAAUCUAGUCUGAUUUCACUCGCUUUUGAGAUUUGAUUCGUCUCUAUUGCAUUUGGCGGGAAGUAUGAAUAUUUAUGGUGAGUCUAGGUUGUCAAGGUAUAUAUCUAGCACAUGUCUCCUUUUGAGUCUUCUUGGUGUUUUUGCUGUUAUCUAGGAGAGACAGCGCGAGAUGAUUAG
rnacentral:lncRNA from 1 species